rnacentral:lncRNA from 1 species
UCAUAGUUUGGCUUGAAAAGCAAAGACCCAGGAGGACCUUAAUACUCAUCUCCUCAAAAUAAUAUUUUUGUCCACCUCUUCUUAAAAGUCCCUCAUAAGCUUUACUGCAUAAGAUACAAGCUAUUGGCUGUGAGAAUCUUGGGUGAAAAUUAGAAUGGAGGAAAAAAAAAACCUUACUGUGUAAUUAAGCUCAGAAUAUAAAGAAAAGAAAUAGCUUUAAAAAAAGAGAAAAAUGCAUUUGAUUUAAGAAAAGUGUAAUAGAUUUUAUGAUGUUUCGAGGAAACAGAUCUAGACUCGCAAAGUUCGUGGUGAUUUGUAUGGGAAAAUAGGGU